GCCCCGUAAUCGGAAUGAGUACACUUUAAAUCCUUUAACAAGGAUCCAUUGGAGGACAAGUCUGGUGCCAGCAGCCGCGGUAAUUCCAGCUCCAAUAGGAUCAUAAAGUUGUUGCGGUUAAAAAGCUCGUAGUUGGUUCUGCGUGCCGCGCUGUCGGUUCGCCGCCUGUCGGUGUAACUGGCAUGUCGCGGCAUGUCCUGUCGGUGGUGAACGGAGUCCACAAUGCUACAUAGGCUUUAUAGCCGAUGUUAGCGUCGUGUGUACUUCCGUUGGCCGAUCUCUCCUACUUCGGUGCUCUUAAACGAGUGUCGAGGUAGGCCGACACGUUCACUUUGAACAAAUUAGAGUGCUUAAAGCAGGCUAAAAUCUCUGCCUGAAUAGUGGUGCAUGGAAUGAUAAAACAGGACCUCGGUUCUAUUUUGUUGGUUUUAGGAAUAUGAGGUAAUGAUCAAUGUGGACUGGCGGGGGCAUUCGUAUUGCGACGUUAGAGGUGAAAUUCUUGGAUCGUCGCAAGACGCACUAGAGCGAAAGCAUUUGCCAAGUAUGUCUUAAUUGAUCAAGAACGAAAGUUAGAGGUUCGAAGGCGAUCAGAUACCGCCCUAGUUCUAACCAUAAACGAUGCCAGCCAGCGAUCCGCCGAUGUUCCUUUAAUGACUCGGCGGGGAGCUUCCACCCGGGAAACCAAAGCUUUUGGGUUCCGGGGGAAGUAUGGUUGCAAAGCUGAAACUUAAAGGA
rnacentral:rRNA from 1 species